rnacentral:rRNA from 1 species
AUUGGACGCUGGCGGCAGGCCUAACACAUGCAAGUCGAGCGGAUGAAGGGAGCUUGCUCCUGGAUUCAGCGGCGGACGGGUGAGUAAUGCCUAGGAAUCUGCCUGGUAGUGGGGGAUAACGUCCGGAAACGGGCGCUAAUACCGCAUACGUCCUGAGGGAGAAAGUGGGGGAUCUUCGGACCUCACGCUAUCAGAUGAGCCUAGGUCGGAUUAGCUAGUUGGUGGGGUAAAGGCCUACCAAGGCGACGAUCCGUAACUGGUCUGAGAGGAUGAUCAGUCACACUGGAACUGAGACACGGUCCAGACUCCUACGGGAGGCAGCAGUGGGGAAUAUUGGACAAUGGGCGAAAGCCUGAUCCAGCCAUGCCGCGUGUGUGAAGAAGGUCUUCGGAUUGUAAAGCACUUUAAGUUGGGAGAAAGGGCAGUAAGUUAAUACCUUGCUGUUUUGACGUUACCAACAGAAUAAGCACCGGCUAACUUCGUG